UACGAGGGGGGCAAGUGUUGUUCGGAAUCACUGGGCGUAAAGGGAGCGUAGGCGGGCUCUUAAGUUGGAUGUUUAAAACCGGGGCCCAACCCCGGCGUGGCAUCCAAAACUGGGAGUCUUGAAUGGAACAGAGGCUAGUGGAAUUGGAGGUGUAGCGGUGGAAUGCGUAGAGAUCUCCAAGAACACCCGUUGCGAAGGCGGCUAGCUGGGUUCACAUUGACGCUGAGGCUCGAAAGCGUGGGGAGCAAACAGGAUUAGAUACCCUGGUAGUCCACGCCGUAAACGAUGAACACUAGGUUUUGACCCCGUCAACGGGUCAGAGCCGCAGCUAACGCGUUAAGUGUUCCGCCUGGGGAGUGCGGUCGCAAGACUGAA
rnacentral:rRNA from 1 species